rnacentral:rRNA from 1 species
AGUCGAGAAUCUUCGGCAAUGGGCGAAAGCCUGACCGAGCGACGCCGCGUGCGGGAUGAAGGCCCUCGGGUUGUAAACCGCUGUCGUAGAGGAGGAAGGCUUCGUGAAGAACGAGGUUUGACCUAUUCUAGGAGGAAGUACGGGCUAAGUUCGUGCCAGCAGCCGCGGUAAUACGAACCGUACAAACGUUAUUCGGAAUCACUGGGCUUAAAGGGUGCGUAGGCGGCCAUGUAAGUGAGAUGUGAAAUCCCUCGGCUCAACCGAGGAACUGCGUUUCAUACUGCAUGGCUUGAGGGAGACAGGGGUAAGCGGAACUGAUGGUGGAGCGGUGAAAUGCGUUGAUAUCAUCAGGAACACCGGUGGCGAAAGCGGCUUACUGGGUCUCUUCUGACGCUGAGGUACGAAAGCUAGGGGAGCGAA